rnacentral:rRNA from 1 species
CAAUAGCGUAUAUUAAAGUUGUUGCGGUUAAAAAGCUCGUAGUUGGAUUUCUGCCGAGGACGACCGGUCCGCCCACUGGGUGAGUAUCUGGCUCGGCCUGGGCAUCUUCUUGGAGAACGUAACUGCACUUGACUGUGUGGUGCGGUAUCCAGGACUUUUACUUUGAGGAAAUUAGAGUGUUUCAAGCAGGCACACGCCUUGAAUACAUUAGCAUGGAAUAAUAAGAUAGGACCUCGGUUCUAUUUUGUUGGUUUCUAGAGCUGAGGUAAUGAUUAAUAGGGAUAGCUGGGGGGACGGAGUAUUUAAUUGUCAGAGGUGAAAUUACUUGGAUUUAUUGAAGAACUAACUACUGCGAAAGCAUUUGUCCAAGGAUGUUUUCUAUUAAUCAAGAACGAAAGUUAGGGGAGUCGAAGAUGAUCAGAUACCAU